UCAUUAUGCGAGGAAUCAGAGACAACUUUGAAACAAUUAUAUUUAAUGUACAAAAUGUAGCGAUCUCGGUCAUUGGGAUUAGUGGGGACAGAAUAGGUCGAAGUAUGGACAUUAGAGUGCUAGAAGAGGAGAUUCAAAGGAACCGACCACAGAAGCUAACUUUACAUAUUGCGGGAAACGAUAUCGAUCAGCCGCAGGCCGAUGAGGAUUCGGUUAGGGAGAUUGUGUCAAAAAUAAUGGCAGCAUGUGACUUGUUUUUAAACCGGUAUCAUUUAAAUAAGAUAUAUGUGUGUCAGUCGUUACCAAGAUAUUCCACCAGACACUGCCGAGUUGUUUUAACGUUAUAUAAUAAGUAAAUAGUCUUGGCAAAUCAACUUUUAAAAGAAGAAGUUAAAAACAGAAGGCAGGUUGUGUACUGGAAGUUAAAGGGCUUGAAGAACUCUGUAGUGAAUAACUUUUGUGAUUAGGGCAAUCAGGGGUGCUGUGAUACAUAGUACAAGUGAUAGCUAGAUAAAUAGUUUGUAUGUCAUUUAGCCAUAUAACAAUUAUGGUUAAUUUGCAUCUUAAGUUUAUGAAACAGGCAAUACAUCUAUAUGUACCUUAGCCUUAGUACCCUAGUGACUUAGAACAUCUUACAAAACGGAGAGCCAGUCCAAGAGUGGGAAAUACAGAAAGGGACCCUUGUGAUCAAGCAUUUAUUUUUACUUAGAACAAGAUGAGUACCGGUAAUAGGCCUACAGACUAUGGGGUGGUUACAAAGCCAGUUAAUUUACAACAAGAGGAAGUCGCAAGUGACACUCCAACAAGCAACAAUCAUUCAAGCCAAUUAGAAGAUGGCAAUUUUACCAAGUAAUUCAGGAAAGAGGACAUUGGCUUAGAAAAACAUUUUCAACCAUGAUGACAGGAGCAUCUGGUUGUAUCAAGAAGUAGUAAAGUUUUGACGUAAUUAUGCAUCUAACAAAGUUUGUGUACAAUGCAUAAUAAUAUGGUAUUGUUUACAAGAGUUGAAAUACUUUCUUUGUAUGUUGGUAAUGUGUUAUUUUUCAUUGUUUGUAUCCGGUUUGUAUGAAUUUUAGGGAUACUUCUAUUGUAGUAAGAUUAAGACUCGCACUAGGGUUGGGUGGGGAUUACUGCUGAUGACAGUUCAGAUCUGCCUGUCAUUGGCAGUAAGUGGCAUUUUUACCUUACCCCACCUUUGAUGUAAAAAUUUUAUACAGUAAUGUUUUGAUCUAUUUCGAAGUUGCAUGUAGUGAUAUUGGUAUCACUGCAAGGUUUAUAAAUGUAAAUCUAUCAAACUACAUUUUCAUUUUUGUAAUAGUUUUACAAAAUUGUCAUUUGGUAAUAAAUGACCUUUUUCAACUUCAAA